CCGGAGAUAGCUUGCUUCCUCUCUCACCCUCACCAUGGAAGGAAGAGUGAGACGCACCUGCUCACAAGCCAAGCCAGGAAACCAGCCCUCAGGAGAGCACACCCUGCUGGUACACUGAUCUCAGAAUUCCGGCCUCCAGACUGUGAAAAAUUAAUGUGUAUUGUUGAAGCCACUUAUUCUACGAAAUUUUGUUAUAGGAGAUCUGGAAGACUGAGACAGAUAAAUGAAGAGAUUAGCUCCAAGGGUUCUCCCCAGAUAUUGUAAGAAGAAAUUCAAAUGUGUUUCACUCUUCAAAUCAAAUUUAAGGAAGUACUCUGUUGAUGCUGCAUAAUUCUAAAUAACUGUGAAGCCUACUUUUAGGCAGAAUAUAAAUAACAUGCUUGAGAAUAGGAAUCUAUGAAUAGUUCUCUGAGUAAAAGAACGGUGUAGCUAAUUUCACUCCAUUGAGGUAAUGCUAAACAAGAUGAGUUGUUUUAUUUCAUACAAAGGAAUGACAAAAUUAAAGCAUGUGAAAAUGUGAUAAGAUUUUCA
rnacentral:lncRNA from 1 species